rnacentral:tRNA from 1 species
GAGGGUGUAACUCAAAGCAGUAGAGCACAUGCUUAGCAUGCAAAAGAUCCUGGGUUCAAUCCCCAGCAUCUCCU